rnacentral:rRNA from 1 species
CGGCAAACGGGUGCGUAACGCGUGAGUAAUCUACCUCUAUGUCGAGGAUAACCUUGCGAAAGUAAGGGUAAUACUUGAUGUGUCUAGUUUUACAUAAGUAGAACUAGGUAAAGUUCUCCGCAAGGAGCAUACAUAGAGAUGAGCUCGCGUACUAUCAGCUAGUUGGUAGGGUAAUGGCCUACCAAGGCUUUUGACGGUUAGGUGGCCUGAGAGGGUGGUCACCCACACGGGGACUGAGACACUGCCCCGACUCCUACGGGAGGCUGCAGUCGAGAAUCUUUAGCAAUGGACGAAAGUCUGACUAUGCGACGCCGCGUGAGGGAUGAAGUAUUUCGGUACGUAAACCUCUUUCGAUGGGGAAGAAGCCCUAGCAAUAGGGUUGACGGUACCUAGAGAAGAAGCCACGGCCAACUCCGUGCCAGCAGCCGCGGUAAUACGGGGGUGGCGAGCGUUACUCGGAUUUAUUGGGUGUAAAGGGCAGGUAGGUGGCUAUGUAAGUUGUAGGUGAAAUCCUUUGGCUCAACCAAAGAACUGCCUUCAAAACUGCAUAGCUGAGGCCAGCAGAGGAAAGCGGAAUUCCCGGUGUAAGGGUGAAAUCUGUAGAUAUCGGGAGGAACACCUGUGGCGAAAGCGGCUUUCUGGUCUGGCCCUGACACUGAUCUGCGAAAGCUAGGGGAGCAAACAGGAUUAGAUACCCUGGUAGUCCUAGCCGUAAACGAUGAGCACUAGUGUUGGGGGGGUAUACCUUCAGCGCCGUAAGAUAACUCGUUAAGUGCUCCACCUGGAGACUACGACCGCAAGGUUAAAAUCCAAAGGAAUUGACGGGGCCCGCACAAGCGGUGGAAACAUGUGGUUCAAUUCG